GAUGAACGCUGGCGGCGUGCCUAAUACAUGCAAGUCGAGCGAACUGAUUAGAAGCUUGCUUCUAUGACGUUAGCGGCGGACGGGUGAGUAACACGUGGGCAACCUGCCUGUAAGACUGGGAUAACUUCGGGAAACCGAAGCUAAUACCGGAUAGGAUCUUCUCCUUCAUGGGAGAUGAUUGAAAGAUGGUUUCGGCUAUCACUUACAGAUGGGUCCGCGGUGCAUUAGCUAGUUGGUGAGGUAACGGCUCACCAAGGCAACGAUGCAUAGCCGACCUGAGAGGGUGAUCGGUCACACUGGGACUGAGACACGGCCCAGACUCCUACGGGAGGCAGCAGUAGGGAAUCUUCCGCAAUGGACGAAAGUCUGACGGAGCAGCGCCGCGUGAGUGAUGAAGGCUUUCGGGUCGUAAAACUCUGUUGUUAGGGAAGAACAAGUACGAGAGUAACUGCUCGUACCUUGACGGUACCUAACCAGAAAGCCACGGCUAACUACGUGCCAGCAGCCGCCGUAACAC
rnacentral:rRNA from 1 species